CCUACGGGCGGCAGCAGUGGGGCAUAUUGGGCAAUGGGCGCAAGCCUGACCCAGCAAUGCCGCGUGAAGGAAGAAGGCUUUCGGGUUGUAAACUUCUAUGACAGGGGACGCGCAGAAGACGGUACCCUGAAAACAAGCCACGGCUAACUACGUGCCAGCAGCCGCGGUAAUACGUAGGUGGCAAGCGUUGUCCGGAUUUACUGGGUGUAAAGGGCGUGUAGCCGGGAAGGCAAGUCAGAUGUGAAAUCUGGAGGCUCAACCUCCAAAUUUCAUUUGAACCUGUUUUUCUUGAGUACUGGAGAGGCAGACGGAAUUCCUUGUGUAGCGGUGAAAUGCGUAGAUAUAAGGAGGAACACCAGUGGCGAAGGCGGUCUGCUGGACAGCAACUGACGGUGAGGCGCGAAAGCGUGGGGAGCAAACAGGAUUAGAUACCCGUGUAGUC
rnacentral:rRNA from 1 species